rnacentral:rRNA from 1 species
GACGUAGGGCGCGAGCGUUGUCCGGAAUCAUUGGGCGUAAAGCGCGUGUAGGCGGCUCGGUAAGUCUGCUCUGAAAGCCCGGGGCUCAACCCUGGGAGGCGGGUGGAUACUGCUGAGCUCGAGUCCGGAAGGGGCGAGUGGAAUUCCUGGUGUAGCGGUGAAAUGCGCAGAUAUCAGGAGGAACACCAAUGGCGAAGGCAGCUCGCUGGGACGGUACUGACGCUGAGACGCGAAAGCGUGGGGAGCAAACAGG